rnacentral:lncRNA from 1 species
CUCCGACUCCCGAAGCCUUUUUCUUAGAACUUCGGACUCCACCUUGGCAUCCUUGACCGCCUGCUACUCAUAGGCCAGCUGAAUCUUCAACCGCUGCAGUUUGGCCUUCUCCUGCCCAAGGGCCAUGGAUAGUUCUUCCAUGGUCCCCCUUAAGGAACAAAGCUCGUCGGAGCCUUGUACUGAAACAGCCUGGACUCUCUCAGACAACUACCUCUGAAGGCGAGCAACCUCGUCGGUCACCGUCUUGAGCCUCCUUCGGCAGUCGUCUACUUGCCCGCACCAGCCGACUCGAUAGGUG